CCUUCAGUUUUAUUUAACAUUCCCUCUACCUUUUCAUUAUCUUUUCACGUGCUAGAAAAUUCCUCUAAAACUUUCCUGGUGUUCUCUAAAUGCCCUUUGCCUCUGAAAGAAAACCUUUUAGCAUCUUCACUUUAUGGUGCACUGUAUUUCACGUCUUGAUUCUUCCAACUUUUUAACUGUAAAUUUUAGCAAGCUGGUUUUAGAUCUGUGCUUCAAUACUGGGCUUCCUUCCAUUUAUUAUGUAGUGACAGAUAUGCCUGCCUUGCUCUUCACUGGCUCCUAAAAUGGGAAAAUAACCAAAACAUAAAUAUGAAACAAUCAGGAGAGGAAAAUAUUUUAAAAUAUCAUUGCUUCGGUGUCUGACAUCUCAUUCCCAGACAUCACCAUGAGAGUGGAUAUGGUUCUGGGCAUCUCCAUGGACCCACAGGGAUCAGGGGACUGCAAUCACUGCCACUGCUCUGCCAGACAUAAGAGUAGGAGCCUCAAAUAACAGGAAUAUGAAUGGAUCCACGAGAGGGGGAAAGGAAGAGGAGCAACUGUCUUCUUGCUGAGGCAAUUGAGGAAAGAGCAGAGACAAACAGGAGCAGGACAUACGAAAAACAAAAGGCAGGAGCCAGCACUACAAAGCAAUUGGAGGAUGGCAUAAAAGAGGCCAUAUGUGCAGGCAAUCACAGAGGAUAAGGGGGAACACCUGUUUUUGCAUCAAUUACAGCCUGAGAGCUCACGGGGCAUAUUUAUUCUGGGGGCAUUACAUUUGCUUGGGUAAUAGCCCAUGACACAUUUCCAGUUUUACAGCAGACAAGCCCUGGGAAGG